GUGAGGAAUAUUGCGCAAUGGGCGAAAGCCUGACGCAGCGACGCCGCGUGGAGGAUGAAGGUCUUCGGAUUGUAAACUUCUGUUAAGUGGGAAGAAAGGGCUGCUUUUAAUAGAAGCAGUUAAUGACGGUACCAUUAAAGAAAGCACCGGCUAAACUCGUGCCAGCAGCCGCGGUAAUACGAGUGGUGCAAGCGUUAUUCGGAAUAAUUGGGCGUACAGGGUGUGUAGGCGGUAUGUUAAGUCUGUUGUUAAAGACUCCGGCCUAACCGGAGACAGGCAGCGGAAACUGGCGUACUAGAGGGUGGAAGAGAGAAGUGGAAUUCUCGGUGUAGCGGUAAAAUGCGUAGAUAUCGAGAGGAACACCGAUGGCGAAGGCAGCUUCUUGGUCCAUACCUGACGCUGAAACACGAAAGCGUGGGGAGCAAACAGGAUUAGAAACCCCGGUAGUCC
rnacentral:rRNA from 1 species